UCAACAUGGUUUCACAAAUGCAGGUUCUCCUGUCCCUGAUGCUCUGGGCGUCUGGUGCCUGUGCAGAUAUUGUGAUGACCCAGUCUCCAUCCUCCUUGGCUGUAUCAGCAGGAGAGAAGGUCACCAUCAGCUGCAAGUCCAGUCAGAGUCUUUUAUACGGUGGCAAGAACUACUUGGCUUGGUACCAGCAGAAACUAGGGCAGGCUCCUAAACUACUGAUCUACUGGGCAUCCACCCGGUACACUGGGGUCCCUGAUCGCUUCACAGGCAGUGGAUCUGGGACAGAUUUCACUCUCACCAUCAGCAGUGUUCAGUCUGAAGAUCUGGCAGAUUACUACUGUCAGCAGUACCACAGUUGCUUGUCAUUUGGGUCUGGAAAUCAAAUUCAGUUAUGA